UGUGUACUCCCUCCGUUCCAAAAUACUUGACUUCCAUUUGUCCAAAAAUGGAUGUACCUAUAUACUAAGACAUGUCUAGAUACAUAUAUAUUUUAACAAAUAGAAGGCAUGUAGUAUUGUGCAACGGAGGGAGUAGAAU
rfam:Triticum aestivum genome assembly, contig: Triticum_aestivum_CS42_TGACv1_scaffold_485409_6AS